UACGGAGGGAGCUAGCGUUGUUCGGAAUUACUGGGCGUAAAGCGCGCGUAGGCGGCUUUGUAAGUUAGAGGUGAAAGCCCGGGGCUCAACCCCGGAACUGCCUUUAAGGCUGCAUCGCUUGAAUCCGGGAGAGGUGAGUGGAAUUCCGAGUGUAGAGGUGAAAUUCGUAGAUAUUCGGAAGAACACCAGUGGCGAAGGGGCUCACUGGACCGGCAUCGACGCUGAGGUGCGAAAGCGUGGGGAGCAAACAGG
rnacentral:rRNA from 1 species